CACCGAUAAACAGAUUCCACAGUCUUCUUUAAUAGAGUAUCUUUCAAACACAACUUUGCUAGAAACUGGUCCAAAGAUCGACAGCACGUGGGAAUGCUUAACAGGGGUGGUGAUCAGGGACACGUUUCCUGGGUGCCGCUUUGAUGAUGUUGUCCACACGCAGAAUCACCUCUGCUGCUUCAGCUGCACUCAGAAGAACCUGUCGCUUCACUUGAAAACUUUCUGUUAUACCCAGGAUAGCCAUAUCUCCAAUGGUGCCUUCCCUCAUAUCCAAUCCAGCAGUGGUAUUGCCUUCACUGUGAGCAGCCCUGAGCUGUGCCACCAGGUCUGCACUGUCAUAGCCUGCAUUGUCAGCUAUGAUGGUUGGCAACAUUCUCAGUGCUUUAGCAUAAGACUCCAUUGCAACAGCUUCUUUGCCUGGUGUUCUAUUGGCAAGCUGUGUCACAGCAUGAGCCAUCAACAUCUCAGAACAGCCUCCUCCAUAAACUGUUCUAGAGUCCUUUACAGUUUGCGCAAGAACACAAAGAGCAUCAUGCAAUGAUCUUUCUG
rnacentral:lncRNA from 1 species